rnacentral:tRNA from 1 species
GCGCGCGUGGCGAAACUGGUAGACGCACCGGAUUUAGGUUCCGGCGCUUCGGCGUGUGGGUUCGACUCCCUCCGCGCGCACCA